GAAAUUAUAGAACAGAUUAAUAGAACACCCCAUCUGUUCUUCAAACACAGAAAAAGUUAAAUAAAUGAUUAUGAAGAGAUAUCGUUUCAUUCAUCACUCCUCGAAUUGAUGAUUCGAUUGUUCCUCAUCCAUAU